GUUAUAAUAAUUUAAAAAAAAUAAUGGUUUUGUAAACCAUCUUUGGGACUCUCUUAUAACA
rnacentral:tRNA from 1 species